rnacentral:lncRNA from 1 species
UUAUCAUUUUGAGAACAACAACUUCUUGAUUGUGAUUGGAGCGACAGAACUGUGAAAGCACCGGAUCGAUGACGAACAUCAAACGUUGCACUUGAUUCAAGACAUGAAGAACAAAAUAUGAACAAGAUAGAAAUACGUAGAAGAUGAAUCUCUUUAUUGAUGAAUCAGUCAUCACAGAUUACACAAACCAAAGGAGUAUACAUCAUCUACAAGCUGGUUUAGAUCACAAAGAUCUAAACCUUGCUUUCUCUCACUAACACAUAGUCUCUCUGGAGAGGUGCACAAAGCUUCUUUCUUUCUCUCAUUCUAAUCUCACCUUUUGUCUAUGUUUACCCUAAUCCUAUACAACACAUAUAUAUAGACUAGGGACUAAAGUUCGGACAACACAAUCUACACAAAGCUCUGACUUUUGCCCUAAACAUAAAACUUAGACAAAAGUUUUCCUAAAACUUGGACAAAAUGUCCAAGGAUAAAGCUAGGUCUAUCUUUCAAGACAUGUACAAUAAAGACCCUAACAAUUUGAAGGCAUGCACUUUUCACCCUAAGUGCAUUAACAACUCCCCCUUGAUCAAUGCAUGGUCUUCAUGUGGUCUUGAAUUCUUCAUUAUGGUUGACUUUAACUUGGACUUCUGCUUUGGUUGACCAGAACUGAUAAGCGACAGUUACCCGGCAGGAACUGCACUUACAGUCUCCCCCUUAACUGUUGCAUCAGUUCUGUGUGGCAUCGAUAAUCUUCAAUCACCGGAUACUGCACUUACAAACUCCACCUUGACUGAUGAUAUGAUGCAUGCUUUCAACUUUAGCCGAGACUUGAUCUUUUAGGUAGAGCACAGCGAUCUUCAACCCACUUGGAAGAGGUACCAAGAAGACUAAUCUUCUCUACUCUAACCGGCAUACGAUAAAGGCAUGACCUCCAACUAGUUGCCAAACGAACAAUUUGCUUCAUCACGUCAACACUUGAUUGAACCUCGAACAAACUUGACAAAACUCAAUCAUACACUAGCUCUAACUUGCUUCAUGUUAUAAACACUUCGCCACCGGUAAGAUUAACACUAAGAUAAUCUCAAAGAUAGUAAACAUGAACUUGUUUCGAUGUAGCACCACGAGCUUUUGAUUUACAAAGAAAACAGGAAUUUCAAAAAUUUUUACUCCCCCUUUUUCUUUAUAAACAAUACAAAAAUCCAAGCAAGUCGUAUUCUCUUCACCUCCUCACUUGAUCCGGACAACAUAAGUACCAUAAAACUUUUCGAUAAUCCGAAACCGACUUCAAGUUUCCAAACUUCACAUAAUUCUGACUCUUAGUUAGUUAUCCGGUACCCCAGGUAACCCGGAAUAACUAGAAAAACUCGGAACAUGCACAACUUGAAACUUCCGAACAACACAAACUUCUAAAUUUAGUUGUAAAUCUAAAUCUGGUACCCCAGGUAACCCGGAAUUCUAGAAAAUUCAGAACUCGUAAAACCCGAAAGCUCUUGAAACCUCGAAUCAGAUCAUCGGAAUAGUACUUAGAGUACAAAGAAAUUCGAAACAAGCAAGGAAAUAAAGGAAACUCUGAAGAAACCCGAAAGCACGAAACCAGAUUUAAAGGUCGGACCUCAAACUUAGACUGUGAUAAAGAUCCAGACAGUUGGAAAAAUCAAACAGUCCUAAAUUGUUGAAAAAUCGAAACAGGUUCAAAGUCGGAACAGGUUCAACUUGUUAAAAGGUCGAACACAGCUGGUAAAAACUCGGAAAUAUGUUGACACUGUUCAAAACUCGGAGCCUCGAAAACUCGGAACGAUUAAAACUCGGAAACAGUAGACUGUAAAGCAUUGACACACAUGAAACUCGGAGACACAGUAGACGACACAGUAGACUGUAAACUCGGAGACAAACAUAGUGACUGUUCAAAACUCGGACAUAUUAUUGAACUGUGCAAAACAUGGAACCUCUGAACCUCGGAACCUCAACAUAUUUCAAAAGUCAGACGAACAGACUUGAUCUGUUUAAUAAUCGGAAAAGCAGUCUUGACAGUUAAAAACUCGGAACAACCUUGUUUCACAUUUAUAAAAACUCGAAACAACCAAAUUGUUGUUAAACAUCGGAACGAAAGGAACAACCAAAACUCGGAUUAUCAACCCCGAACAAGAAACUCAGACAGAAGUUUUUAACAAAACUCGGACCGAAACCUCAGAAACGGACACGGUUCAGGUAAUUAAAAAAAGUCGGAACUGUCUUUAAAACUCGGAACAUUCAUACUUUAAUACUCGGUGACCUUUCAAAACUCGGAACAUACAUACUCGGACUUGUAAAACUCAGAGACAUGGUAACUAUGUUAACAGAAUCCUUCAAAUCCUCGGAAACACGUCCUUUCAAAACUCGGAACAAUCAAAAACUGAUAAACCUCGGAACUAAAAAAAGACUCUGACCUGAACACUUGUAAAACUCGGAGACAUUAAAACAAAAAUAAGUUCGGAAACUUCGUAACUCUGAUUGAAACUAAACUCGGAAACAAGAGAGAUUAGAAACCUGGAAUCAUAAAAUUUUAAACUCUGAAUAGUGAAACUCUGAUCAAUUUGUUCACAAAACUCUGAUGAUUUUUUGCAAAACUCUAAUGAUUUUUUUUUUGCAAAACUUUUUUUGCAAAACUCUGAUGAUUUUUUUUUUGCAAAACUCUGAUGAUUUUUUUUGCAAAACUCUGAAUACACACAAAAGAAAUCUCAGAACAUACCUUAAAGUUUCACAAAGAAACUCGGAUGGUUUGAGCUCAAGGAAAAUGAGGGAAUCUCAAAGCUAAAACUCGGACUAGUGUUAAAACUCAGACCCAAGUAAAAACAAAGUGAAACUCGGACUUGUGUUAAAACUUUGGACAGUUGAAAUUCGGACAGGAGUUAAACUUUGAAACUCAGAACAAUUAAAGAGUUUCUCAAAACUCAGAUCCAGUAACCAAUCUCCGGACUAUCUCCCCAAUGUGAGUUCACACUGGUUCACCAAAACCCCGGAAACACAAACACAGAGUUUUAAAACUCAGAUGGGUUUAACACUAAGAAAAACUCGGACAGAGCAAUUUUUGGAUCAAACCUCAUAUCUGCAACAACUUGGAGAACAAAACAACCACGAACAGCUUCAUUUUCUUCAAUUUUUCUGCAAAAUCUUCAAGUCUUUAAGAUGUUUGGCAGAAACAAACAUCAAAUCAAGAGCAAUGGUGAUUCAGAAGGCGGUUAGACCAUUCUGAAUUGGUAACCAUGCUCUGAUACCACUGUGAAAGCACCGGAUCGAUGACGAACAUCAAACAUUGCACUUGAUUCAAGACAUGAAGAACAAAAUAUGAACAAGAUAGAAAUACGUAGAAGAUGAAUCUCUUUAUUGAUGAAUCAGUCAUCACAGAUUACACAAACCAAAGGAGUAUACAUCAUCUACAAGCUGGUUUAGAUCACAAAGAUCUAAACCUAGCUUUCUCUCACUAACACAUAGUCUCUCUGGAGAGGUGCACAAAGCUUCUUUUUUUCUCUCGUUCUUGUCUUACCUUUUGUCUAUGUUUGCCCUAAUCCUAUACAACACAUAUAUAUAGACUAGGGACUAAAGUUCGGACAACACAAUCUACACAAAGCUCUGACUUUUGCCCUAAACAUAAAACUCAGACAAAAGUUUUCCUAAAACUUGGACAAAAUUUCCAAGGAUAAAGCUAGGACUAUCUUUCAAGACAUGUACAAUAAAGACCCUAAUAAUUUGAAGGCAUUCCCUUUUCACCCUAAGUGCACUAACAACUCCCCCUUGAUCAAUGCAUGGUCUUCAUGUGGUCUUGAAUUCUUCAUUAUCGUUGACUUUAAUUUGGACUUCUGCUUUGGUUGACCAGAACUGAUAAGCGACAGUUACCCGGCAGGAACUGCACUUACAAGAACCUUCCAUUGUGACGGAGGGCAGGUCUGUGGCGUAUUUACUUUCGUCAAAGAGCAUGGAGGUAUAGCUACAGAUGAAUUCUACAAAGCUAGGACUAUCUUUCAAGACAUGUACAAUAAAGACCCUAACAAUUUGAAGGCAUUCACUUUUCACCCUAAGUGCACUAACAACUCCCCCUUGGUCAAUGCAUGGUCUUCAUGUGGUCUUGAAUUCUUCAUUAUGGUUGACUUUAACUUGGACUUCUGCUUUGGUUGACCAGAACUGAUAAGCGACAGUUACCCGGCAGGAACUGCACUUACAAGAACCUUCCAUUGCGACGGAGGGCAGGUCUGUGGCGUAUUUACUUUCGUCAAAGAGCAUGGAGGUAUAGCUACAGAUGAAUUCUACCCUUAUGUAGAUAAAAGGGAAAUAUGCCAUACAUCUAAGUAUGGUCAUCACUCGUUGAUGGAUCCGAGUAAUUGUCAGAACACCAUGAAGAAGCGCUAUUGAAAGCAGUGGCACAUCAGCCUCUAACUUUUCAAAUGGAUCCUGGUGGUGACGGUUUCAUGUUCUACAAAGAGGGAAUUUUUAGUGGACCAUGUGGAAUGGAGCUGAUGCACGCGAUGUUGAUAGUUGGAUACGAUCAAGGAUCCUGACGGAACCAAGUACUGGAUUGUUAAGAACUCAUGGGGCGAAGGAUGGGGAGGGAAGGGAUAUAUUCGUAUGCUGCGCGGUACGAGUAUCCAAGGAGUUUGCAACAUGUAUGGGCAUAGUAAUUUCCCUCUUAAAUCUCCCGUAACUAAAAAUGUUGAACUCUAGAAUACAAUUUUAAUUAUGUUCACUCUUCAUUUUAUAUGUAACCAUCCGAGAGAGAAAACAUGUCUAAUCAGAUUUUUUUUUGUUACUUUAUGUUUGAUUAUGAGAUUUAUUUUCUUG